CUUUAACUUGAUCCAAAAGGGAGGCAGACAGCUCAGCGUGUUAGCAGUAAGUGUCGGGGGCGUCAGGGGGAUGUACUUGGAGGCCUGACCUAGUCCUGGGGUCAUGAAACGGUUCGUCUAGGAAGCCAUGUUUGGCAUGAGCCGCUGAAGGAGGCGUAGGAAUUGUCUAGGUAACAGCAGGGACUGGAAAGAUACCAGGUACAGGGAACAGCAUGUAUGAACGUCUGAGACAGAGACCAGAAGGCGAGCCGAUGGGGUUGGAGCAAAUCCACUGGAAAAAGGCGCAGGAUGAGGACACAAGGAUGUCAGAGAAGUUGCUCGUGGAGGUUGCCAGGGAGGAGGACAAGAGUUGCCUGGGGUUUGGGGAACGGUAGAGACAUCUUGGCUAAGCCUUCAUCUCCAGAGGCCCCUGGGCACGCGGCUCCCAGGAAUGUGUGUGGAAGAAAGAAUCACCCUCAGAAUUACAAAAAGAACCUGAAUCUGGUUCUCUGCUCUGCCACUUACUGGCCAUGUGACAUGACUAAGGCAGCUCUCAGACCCAAGUGUCCUCAUCUACAAAGUGGCUGUGGUGUCUGAAUGAGACAGCAUAUGGCCGAGGAUUUGUGCAUGAGUGUGUGAGCGAAAUCUGUGCCCAACGGAGACAAGCGUUUCUCUACUUCUCCCCCUUUCCAUAGGCUUUUGGUUUUUCCCUCUGGUUUAAGGAUAUUAAAUCACUAGCACCUUUUGUUGCAAGCUGUCUUCUUUAGAAGUUGGUGACACGUGGCUACCAACUUUGCUUUAGAGCAUGGUAACACGCGUUUUCUCUUGGCUGCCACCGAUGCCCCCUUCGUCUACUGGGUACCCCAGGUUGAUGAUGUCUGUUUCCUUGCUCUUUUGUUCAUUACUCUCUUUUGCUAAAUGGAUGGAAUUUGCCCUUCUCUUUCCCAGCGUAGGGGAGAUGCUUAUCUCUAACUGGGCGGCUGCUUUGAACCUUCACUGAAGGUGGGACCCCACGUCCCAUUCCCAAGACAACCAUUGUUAGUUCUCCUGUAGACUAUGAACAUAGACACGAGCAUGUAUGGUUUCCCCACCUUCUAAAUACAAAUUGACACCAUAGUAUCUAGUAUUCUGAACCUUGCUUUUUUAUUUCACAAUGUAUCUUCAAGAUCACUUUGUAUCAGUGCACAGACUCUUGACUCUCUU